GACAGAGGUCCCGAGCGUUAGGCGGAAUCACUGGGCUUAAAGCGUGUGUAGGCGGAUUGGUAAGUACCUUGUGAAAUCCCACGGCUUAACCGUGGAACUGCUUGGUAUACUGCUUAUCUUGGGCCACUUAGGGGCUACCGGAACAAACGGUGGAGCGGCGAAAUGCGUAGAUAUCGUUUGGAACGCCAAUGGUGAAAACAGGUAGCUGGGAGUGUGCCGACGCUGAGACACGAAAGCCAGGGGAGCGAACGGG
rnacentral:rRNA from 1 species